UAGAACUGAGGCUGGUACCUAGACUAUGGUGGGCUGAUUCGUAGAGGCUGGGUUGGACUGAAUGGAGAAGAGGUAAAACUGUGAGAAAGAGAGUGAAAAACAUGAAAAUCCGUGAGUCAAUAUACCACAGCUGAGAAAAGUUGAGUUGCUUCUCCCCAUAGAACCUAGCACUGACUGCUCUAGUAUUCUGCAUGGUGGAACCUUUGAGAAUAUCUAGAGACAGGAUGCUUGGCAUGAAGGGUUGGGAUCGACAAAACUCUUGUGUGGAUAUCAGCUAGAAGGGGAUAACUACUGUCUUAAAAGAGUGUUUCUUUUAAAUCUUUUUAGCGUAG
rnacentral:lncRNA from 1 species